rnacentral:rRNA from 1 species
AAAAAGCUCGUAGUUGGACUUGUCGUCCGCUCCGCUGAUCGUCCUUUUUGGUACGUUGGGCGGGAUGCUUCCUUGGGUGGAACCUGUGUGCCAUUAGGUUGUCGUGCAGGGGAUGCUCAUCGUUUACUGUGAAAAAAUUAGAGUGUUCAAAGCAGGCUUAUGCCGUUGAAUAUAUUAGCAUGGAAUAAUAAGAUAGGACCUUGGUACUAUUUUGUUGGUUUGCGCACCGAGGUAAUGAUUAACAGGGACAGUUGGGGGUAUUCGUAUUCCAUUGUCAGAGGUGAAAUUCUUGGAUUUCUGGAAGACGAACUACUGCGAAAGCAUUUACCAAGGAUGUUUUCAUUAAUCAAGAACGAAAGUUAG